UAACACCUGGAAACAGAUGCUAAUACCGGAUAACAACAGAUGAUGCCUAUCAACUGUUUAAAAGAUGGUCCUGCUAUCACUCUUGGAUGGACCUGCGGUGCAUUAGCUAGUUGGUAGGGUAACGGCCUACCAAGGCGAUGAUGCAUAGCCGAGUUGAGAGGCUGAUCGGCCACAUUGGGACUGAGACACGGCCCAAACUCCUACGGGAGGCAGCAGAU
rnacentral:rRNA from 1 species